AACCUCUAGAUAAGUUGAUACAAGGGACAAGAACGGCUCCAGCUAGAUAAAUCAAAUUUCUUUAAUAAGUUCUUAAUAAUUUUGAUUUGAUUGGAAGGCAUACAAAUUGAAUUUUAAACAUGUUCUUAAUUUAUUCUGCAGCGUGGUGGUUUGUCAAACUAAGCGUGGAUCUGAUUUGGUGAUGUCUGUUAAAUCAGUUUUCUUUUCAAAAUUUCUUCAUUAUUUUUAAUGUAUACUAUUAAAUCAGAUAAUAUUUUUAUGAUUCGGUAAUCUCUUUGGUUUUUCAGGAGAAAUAAACACGCUUUACUCUGGUUCUAUCUUUCUUCCAAUAAUUUUGUGUUCUUAUUUCUGGUUCAUGUUUGUGAAGUUUCAAUCUUGGUGUUUGUUCUUUAUUGAUUUUAAUGCUAUACAUAAAAAUUGAAUCAUGAACUUCAUUAGAUAAUCGACAUACAUUUGGCCAUUUUGCAGCAAGCUGAGAAGUCUUAUUAACUAGAACGGCUUGAUACAACAUACGGAAUGGCUCCAGAUAGAUAAAUCAAUUUAUUCAAUGAUUUGUUCUUUAUUACUUUAAUUUCUGGGUUUUUACUGCAAGACAUGCAAAUUGAAUUUUCAACAUGUUUUCUUGCAGCGUGGUUUGUUAAACUAUUACCUGCUUGAUGCAUGGAGCCUAGCGUUUUGAUUUGGUGAUCUGUAAUAAAUUCUUUUCAUUUUUUAAAAUUCUUUAUUCUCUGAGAUCAUGUAUUUCUUGACCUGUUUUUACCCUCUUUGGUCUUGCAGGAAAAGUAAUUUUGUAACAUACGACUUCUUCUAGUGAUAUGUAUCUUCCUCUUGUUUGGUCUUCAUGUUUUGCAUUCUUUAUUCAUUUUUGAUUGAUUCUUUCGGUUUCAUGAUUUGUCUGGUUGAUUAUUUGUUUUUGUUGGUUUAGACUGCAGUUUGGUUUGUCAAAAUAAUAAUAUCCUUCACAGCAUAGAGCCUGAAGUUUUGAUUUGGUGAUAUCUAGUAAAUCCUUUUUGUUUCAAUCUUACAUUGUUGAUUCUAAGAACAAAUGUUUCUUGAAUGUUAAAUUGUUAAUUUACUUCCUGGUAUUAAGAGGAUAUGAUUUUGAUUUCUUGAUGGUGUUACAUGAGAAGAUAUGCUUUUGAUUUCUUGAUUAUGAGGUUUGUUUGUUUAUUCUUGUUCAUACCUUCUUUUGUUACUUGAUUUUUUAACUAGGUGGCCAUAUUGUUUGCUCUGUGACAUGCAUUUAUCCAUCUUUUGCAGUCUGUGAAAUCUUCAUUAUCUAGAACGUUUCAUACACCGGAAAAGAACAACAGCCCCGAUAGAUAAAAAUCAAAUUUCUUCAUUGAGCCAUUGUUUAUUAUUUUAAUUUCUGGGCUUCAAUUGCAAGACAUACGAAUUGAAUUUUGAACAUGUUUUCCUGCAGCAUGGUUUGUCACACUAAUAACCUGCUUCGUGGCAUGGAACCUAGCAUUUUGAUUUGGUGAUAACUAUUUAAUUCUUUUCAUUUUAAAAAUUUCUUUUAUCAACAUAUAUAUAUCUUUAUUUGUUGUUUAUUCUUCCGUGUCGCAGGAGAAGUGUGAUCUUUUUUAAACAUAUUCUGGUUCUAUCGAUCUUCCUCUUGUUUAUAUCUUAGAAGUUCAGCCUUACUCUGAUUUCCUUACAUUCAGGUUUUUGAUGUAUUCUGACCGUGAUAGUUUACACAAUUCUGGAGAAAUUGUGACUGCUUUGAUGUAAUCUGUCAUUUAGGUUUAUUACUUCCGUUCAGACUUGGAAUAAAGCUGGUCAUACAUCCUACUUUUCACUCAACCUUGGUAAUAAAACUGGUUUCAUUUUGUGUUGGGAUGGGAUAGUUGUGCUCUGAUGGUGUGAUGGGAUAGUUGUGCUCUGAUGGUGUGAUGGGAUAGUGUUGCAGUUUUUAUAAUGUUGUAUCAGGAGUCUGCAGUUUAUCUUUUCGCUUGGGUCUUUUGAUCUUCUUCUAUCAUAAGUAGAUAAUGGAGAUAUAUGUUUAAUUUGCAGCAGGUGGCGGAAUCCGGAAAAACUAUAAACAUUUUGUGAUUCUUUACACAACGGAUAUGAAUGGAGAUUGGCUUCAAAUAGAUAAAUCGAAUUUCUUCAAUGAUUCAUUCUUUAUUGUUUUUAAUUUCAAGUUUUAGAUUAUGAGAAGAAUUGAACCGUGAUCUUGCUUUUUCUGCAGCUUGGUUUGUCUAAUUAUUAACCUCCUGAGUAUGGAGGCUUGAGAAUUUUCUGGUGAUCUCUAUCUAGUAAAUUUUCCGUUCAAUGCUUCUGAGAGGAUAUAUUUCACACUCUCGUACUUUUCUUGAAUCUUCUUUUACGAUUAGUUAAUGAGUAUUAUUUUUCGAUAUAACUCUUCUUUGAUAAUCGAAGAUCCAUUUAUCCGUUGUACUGCUCUUGAUAGAUAAUUAUUUUUCUUCAAUGAGUCCUUUAUCCAUUUCUGCAGCGUGGUUUGUCAGAGUAUUAAAAAUGUUCUUUAUUCAUAGCAUGGAGCCUCUAGAUUUGAUUUGGUGAUAUCUAGUAAAUCUUUUUGGUUCUAUCUUUCUAUGUCAAUUCAGAGAAUGCUUGAUUUGGUGUUUUACUUUCUUGUUUCUUUGAUCUGUGAUUACUUAAUUUCAGUGAUUGUUAAGAUAUACUUUCCAACAUUUUCACACAAUCACACUUCUCUCGACUCUUCUUUUACAUAAAAAUUUCUUAAAAUUCUUAAAUUUUUUAUAUAAUUAAUUAUUCAUUUUGAUAAUCGAGAGAUCAUUUAUCGGUUUUGCAGUGAAACCUCUUGAUACAAGGUACAAGAAAGGCUCCAGUUAGAUAAAUCAAAUUUCUUUAGUUGAUAAUUAAUUAUUUUAAUUUGAUUGGAAAGCAUACAAUUUGAAUAUUGAACAUAUUCUUAAUUAUUCUGCAGCGUGGUGGGUAGUUUGCAAACUAAGCAUGGAUUUGAUUUGGUGAUGUCUGUUAAAUUAUUUUUGUUUUCAAAAUUUCUUCAUUGUUUUUUAUGUAUUAUUAAAUCAGUUUCAGUUGAUUUUUUGAUUUGGUGAUCUUUUUGGUGUUUCAGGAGAAAUAUCUAUGAAAACACGAUUUCUUCUGGUUCUUUCUUUCUUGCUCUUAUUUGAUCUUCAUGUUUUGUAUUCUUUUUCCUUUCUGGUUUCAUGUUUAUGAGGUUUUGAUUUUGGUGAUCAUUGUUUUUUAUGUAUUAUUAAAUCAGUUUCAGUUGAUUUUUUGAUUUGGUGAUCUUUUUGGUGUUUCAGGAGAAAUAUCUAUGAAAACACGAUUUCUUCUGGUUCUUUCUUUCUUGCUCUUAUUUGAUCUUCAUGUUUUGUAUUCUUUUUCCUUUCUGGUUUCAUGUUUAUGAGGUUUUGAUUUUGGUGAUUAUUGUUUAUUAAUUUUAAUGCAAGACAUCAAUGACUUCCUUUUUCAGCUUGGUUUUGUCAAAAAUUAACCUCCUACAUAGCAUAGAACCUUUUCUCCUUGGUUCAUAAAUAUGAAAGAUAGUGAAUCCUUUUUGUUUAAAUCUUUAUUGAUUUUGCAGCUGAGGUCAACAUAUUCUUGGUUCAAAGAUAUAAGUACGGGGAAUGGUUCAAGAUAAAUCAAAUUUCUUCAAUGAGCCAUUUUUAUUGUUUAUAAUCUGACUUUGAUUACAAGACAUACAAAUUGAUUUUGAAAAUGCUUUUCUGCAGCGUGGUUUGUCGAAAUAAAUGAACUGCGAACAUGCUUUUUCUGCAUCCUGGUUUGUCUAAAUAAUAACCUCCUUCGUAGUAUGGAGCCUUGAGUAUUUUCCCGGUGAUCUCUAGAAAAUUCAUCUAUUCAAUCUUUGUGUUAUUUUUCAAUUUAACUCUUCAUUUGAUAAUUGAAGAUCCGUUGAUAAUCGAAAUAAUCAUUGUGGGUUUGAUGGCUGUGUUCCAGCUUUGUUUUUUUGAAAGUAUGUUUCACUUCAAAAAAAAAAAAAAAAAAAGAAGAAGAUCCGUUUAUCCGUUGUACUGCGAGCAGGGAAGUCUUGAUAUCUAUAACACUUGAUUCAACGGACAGGAACGGGGGAACGGUGUUUGAAAGAUAAAUGAUAAUGAGUCCUUUAUUAACUUGAUUUCUGGGCUAUGAACAAAUUGAAUUUUGAACAUGUUUUUCUGCAGCACGGUCUGUCAAAUCUAAUAACUUUCUUCGCAUCAUAGGGUUUUUAUAUGGUGAUAUUAUCAUAAUCUGUUUUUUUAUGAUAUUUCUUUCACUGCUAAGAGUAUGAAUAUUUCUUGAUUGGUUACUUUUUGGUGUUGCUGAGAGUAUGAAUAUUUCUUGAUUCGUUGCUCUCUGGUGUUGCAGGAGCAAUAAUCUGUGACAUUCUCUUGUUUGAUCCUCAUGUGAAGUAUUCUUAUUCUUUGUGAUUAAUUAUUCGUUAUCUUUAACUUUUGCAGUCCAAUUUUGAUUGUUCUUGAAUUCCUGUUACAACUAACAUUAUUCUUGGUAGACAGAUGUUGUUUUGCAUUUAUGGUAUUGCUAUUUGAGUAAUAGGAAAUAGUAAUGUUUUGCUGAACUUGGAAAGAUGACUGGAGUUCUGCUAUGAAUUUUCUGUUUUGGAUGUUGCCAGUUGAGUUUCAUAAAACGGUGAUGUUUUGCAGAGCUCCAUACAUGAUAUUCAUUUCUGGUGGAUUGUGAAUUAAAACCUGUUUUCUGGAGCAUAAUAUAUCUUAAAAUAACCAGUCUGUGUAUUAUUAAAGUGUACAGGUUUAUUUUUGCACACCCUGAUUCAACGUCCUCUGCAGGCUGUUUCAUAUACUCCCUAUAGUUUGAUAAUCAGCAUCUACUUUUUGAGUUUUCUGUGAGUGUUAGAGGAAAAUCCUAUAAAUGUGCACGAAGCAAGGUUCUGUUCAGCCUUGAGAUAAAACUGGUAAUUUUCUAGCCGUGUUUUUAUAUUGGGAUUUGGGAUAGCAGGUCCUCUGAUGGUUUCUUGCAAGUGUCUGAGUUUUUGUGGUUCUGUCUCAUGAGAGUAUGAAGCAUAUAAGAAUUCUGGACUGGUUUGGCACUUUAAUUGUUGAUUUGUCUCUUCCUCUAUCAUAAUUCGUUUUCUAUUUUCCUGCGGUUUGUGGUAUAUAUACAUGAGGAUAAGAAUCUUCUCUCCAAAAAGGUUAUGCCUCACAGAUUCUGCAAUUGGAGCAAGGACUUGGUUUAGGGGGGAGCUUAAUGGAGCACCAGAAUCUGCAAUUGGCUGCCGUUGUUAAGCUUUCAUUUCGUUAUUUCUACUUUGACAGUUAGAUUUCUUCUUCACGUUUUCCUUGUCUUUUUGUGGAUUUAGUUUUCUCAUUCCUACCCCGACUCCCUGUGUCUGUAAAUGGGGUUUUUUGUUGUGAAAUUUUCUUAGCUCGUGUUACAGGGGAGAUGCUGUACUGUGAUUUUAAAGCUGCAGCUAACCUUAAUAUUACGAACAUGCAGACCCUUGGAUUUCACUGGUCAUUUUCUUGCCUUGAAUGUACUUGUUCUGGAAUAGGUGUCCUUUGACAUUGUGAUGUGCCAAUGUUUAGAAAUAUGAAUCUAGAUAUUAGGAGAGCUUCGGCAAUAUUUAUGAUUCUGUCAGCUUGGAUAUCUAAAAUGUUUGGAAAUACUCGAGUCCAGAUAUAUCAAAAUUACUAAGAUUUGGGAUUUGUUCUUAUGACAUGCAGAUUGGAUUGUGAAUCUAUUUUUAUUUUCAAUAUUUCUAUUGAUAUUGAGGGCGUUACAAGGGAGACCGACUAUGAAUGUAUGGUGUGCCGUGACCUGUGGAAACCGGCCGUGUGAUAUGAUCAGUAAUUUUUUACAUAUCCGUGUGUUUGUUUAUGUUACAUCAUUAGGGAUAUUUUUCCUUUGAUAUGUCUAAUGCUAGUGCUGGAUAUGUGUUUUCGCAUCAGGAGAAUGAAUACUGAAGCAUACAAGAUUCUAGAGUAUAUGAUUUUGUCCGCAACGAGGAUAUGAAAUUCUGGACAGCUUGGUUUGGUGUUAUACUCUGGUAGUCUGCCAUCUUUUGUAGUUUUAUAAGAAUCUUCUGUCCCAAAUUUGUAUCUUUGUUGGUGGAGUAGUUAUUCUCUUAUGGUUUGGCCUGCCUGUAGUCUGUUUUGGACAGCUUGGGUGGAUUGUCCUGAUGGCGGUCUUUAUCUGGGGAGCUUUUCUAUACUGUUUAUCAUUUGACGAUGUGCAUAAGAAUAAAUCGGUUCUCCUAAGUUGAUAUUUCUGAGUGCACCGGGCUUCAAGGUGAUUUCUACUUGGUUAUACAUACUUUGUGCUUUCUGCUUGGAUUGGUUCUUUGUAUUUUAUCCCGUUCAUUGCAAAUAUAGAUAGACCAGCUAUUUCUUACUUCUAAUGGCGUGUCCUGCAUUCUUUUUGUUAAGAACAACCACAAUAAUGGAAUAUACCAAGUGUGCAGAGUUUAUUGUUCCUCCUUAGUUCACAAAGCAGGCCUGCUUCUAGCUUAGGAAUGCUUAAUGUAUUUUGAAAGUUAUCUCUUUGUUGUUUGACCUGCCAGUGUUAACUAGAGUAGAAAUUGAACAUGGUGUUAGGGACAUAACUAAGCAAAUGUUUAUGAUGUUCUAAUGAUCAAUUUUGUUAUUUUCAAUUAUCUUUUAUGAUGUUCUAAUGAUCAAUUUUGUACCAGAUGACUUUUAUCAUUUUUUUUUUUGGAAAUCACUCUGAUACCUUCAGUAAGGUUAAGUUUAAACUUCUAACGAGCAAGGACAACGUGUAGUGUAAAAAAUUACAAUUUUAUCAAUGUAUUUUUUAAUUAACACCGUUGAUCUAUAUAAGCAUGUGUACCAGAUCACUUUGAUAAUUUUCUAUUUGGAAAUUACUCAAUGAUAUUAAAACUUCAUUAAGGUUAGAUUAAAACUUCUAUUCAGAAAUCACAAUAGAUAUAAUAUUCACGCUUGUUCAUAAAAAAAAAAUGAUAAUAUUCACCAUUUAACAGUGUAGUGUAAAAUAUUACAAUUAAAUCUUUGUAUCUUUGAAAUUAAAACUAGCAAAAGAAUUGUAACAUUUUUCACAAUCAAAGGAAAAUAAUUAGCUGGCGUCUUUACACUUGAAUUGACAAAAAUAUCAUUAAACUUAAUGAAUUUUUACCAUUAUCCAUUGUCUCACACUUCUCUUAUAUCCUCCCUCAUCCUCCUUUCCAUUAUCUGUCUUCUUUUUAGAGCCAAGUGAUAUGAUGGAAGAGGCAUACGGCGUAAUUAUUGAAGUUAUUUUUUCAUAGCAUGGAGCCUUGAGUUCAUAUGUGAAUUUUCUCUUGAGAUGUUGCCGAUUGAGUUUUAGAUAAUGGUAGUAAUGUUUUGUGAAACUACAUGAUUAUACUAAAUUGUGAAUUGAAACAUUUUCUGUUUUCUGCAGUGCUGUGUGUUUUGAGACUGUUCUGUGUAGCACCAAGCAAUCAGGUGUAUUUUGAUACACUCUUCUUGGUUGUGAAUAGUUUUUAUCUCAUUAAUUCUCUGUAAAGUUCUACUAUCCUGUCAUUUUGACUUACUCCUUUAUGUCACUUGGGUGUUACACGCGAGAGAUAAGUCUGUUUAAGUGGGGUGAGAGAUGAGUUCAGUAUUCAUUAUCCUCAAAUUUAUCGUUCAGUCUUGUUUUACUCCCUUAUACUGAGAAGUUCAACCUUACGGUUCGCGGACUGCUUAAUACUACUGUUAUCUUACAUUUAGAUUUCUGACCUGUAAAUUGAGUUUACACAAAUCUGGAGAAAUUAAGUAAGUUAUUUAUGUGUUUUUGUAAAUAUGAUCUUUUUAUCAGUGGCUUCAUUUGUGCAUGUGUUAUUUAAUACUACUUGGUUAAUACUACUCUUGUUUCUCUUACUUGGUUUUUUCUAUAAUUAGGUGGUACAGUGUAAUAUUUUUGUGCAUGUGUUAUUUGGUGUUCAAGUCCUGGAAGCAGCCUCUUGUGUAAAAAACAGGUUAAGGCAGCGUACAAUACACCAAUAAUGGUGGGACCCUUUCCCGAACCCUGCGUAUGAAGGAGCUUUAGUGCACGGGUUGCCCGUUUGUGUCAUUUGGACUGGUUUACAUAUUUUUCUGGAGAAAUGGGACAGCUUGUGAGGGGCUCUCUUGUAACUAUGAUCUUUUGUUCAGCGGCUUGGUUUGGAGAAUUAUGCUAAUCUUCUCUUUUAUUUUGCAACUAUCUGUUACACUACUCCAUCAAACUACUGUUUUAUUACAUUUAUGUUUUUCACAUGUAAUGUGACGGAGUAGUGGUUACACAAUUCUGAGAAAUUGAGACAACUUUGUGGGGUUUACUUCGUAACUAUGAUCUGCGGAUUAGCAGCUUGGUUUGGACAACUUUGUGCUGUUACAGGGCUGUCAUUGUCAUAUACUGUCUACUGUCUACAGGCUGUCAUCCACUUUUGUCAGAUCCUUUGAGUUUUCUCUGUGUUACAAGGGGAGUAAGCCUAUAAUUGUGUGGCAUGCAGAGAGGUUCGCUUACUUUCCGUUCAGCCUUCGGAUGAAUAAAACUGGUCAUUUUUUGCCUACAUCUGUAUCUGUGCUCUGUUAGAGUUGCAGUUAUUAUGUUCUUGUUUCUGGAGUCUUUGUGCUGCUUCUAUCAAGGAGUUCAUUUUGGACUUGUAUUUUGAUAUGCUUCUAUCACGAAUGUCACAGUUCUCCUGGCUCUUUUUUCAUGGAUUGGUUUUUCAAGAAUUGUUGUUUGUUUAUUUUUUUGGUUUAUUGGAUAUGGUUGUUCAUAAUUGGAUAAUCGAGACAUGCAUUUAUCCGUUUUGCAGCGAGCUGAAGUCUGGAAGUCCAGAUUGUUUUGCGAUUGCUGACACAACAUAUACGAACGGAGAACGGCUUCAGAUAUAAAUUGAAUUUCUCCAGAUCUUUAACUAUGAGACGAAUCGAACUGUGAACGUGGUUUUUCUGAAGCUUGGUUUGUCAAAAUAAUAACCUCCCAUGGUUUUUCUGCGGCCUGGUUUGUCAAAAAAUAUAACCUGCCAUUGUUUUUCUGCAUCCUCGAGUAUUGAUAUGGUGAUUGUUAGUAAAUUCUUUUCUUACAAUAUUUCCAUAUGAGAAGCAUAUAUUUCACACUAUCAUACUUUUCCAGAAUAUGUUGUUACCAUUGGUUAUAAAGAAUUAUUUGUGUAAUUUUUCGAAUUAUACUUAUGAGGUUGCUUGAUCUUCUUCUAAUUUCUUUCCUUUCUUGAUCCAUUAGCCAGAUUGUUUGCUCCCUGAUUGUUUAAUUUCAGGUUUUCCUAUAAGCGAUAUUUAAUUUGUUUCUUUUCACUCUUCUUUUACGAUCCGUUAUCAAGAAUUAUUUCUGUAAUUUUUGGAUUAUUGGAUAUAAACUUCGUUAUAUAAUCGAGACAUACAUUUGGCCGUUUUGCAGCGAGCUGAGAAGUCUUGAAUCUUGAUAACUAGAAAGGCUUGAUACAACAUAUGAAAAAUGGAGAAUGUCUUCAGAUAGAUAAAUCAGUUUAUUCAAUGAUUCGUUCUUUGUUACAUUUAUUUCUGGGUUUUUACUGCAAGAGAUGCAAAUUGAAUUUUCAACAUGUUUUGCUGCAGCGUGGUUUGUUACACUAAAAACCUGCUUGAUGCAUGGAGCGUAGCACUGGGUUGUAGAUAUCAUGAAUUUUAACACAUCUGCUGACUCUUCCUUUUACUGAUUGAUUAUCAUAACUUGUUUCUAUAAUUUUUGGGAUAUAAUUCUUAAUUUGAUAAUCUGGCGAUGCAUUUAUCCAUAGCUGUGAAGUCUUGAUAUCUAGAAUGUUUUUAUACACCGGACAAGAACGACAGCUCCAGAUAGAUAAAAAUCAAUUUCUUCAAUGAUCCAUUCUUUAUUAAUUUAAUUUCUGGGCUUCAAUUGCAAGACAUACGGAUUGAAUUUUUAACAUGUUGUUUUCAUUUUGAUUUGGUGAUUUCCAUUAGAUUCUUUUCAUUUUGAAAAUUUCUUUUAUCGUCAUCAUACAUUUCUUUAUUUUUUAUUUACUCUUUCGUGUUGCAGGAGAAGUGAACUGUAAACAUACUCUGGUUCUAUCAGAGGCCGCCUUCUCAGGCCAGCAGUCUUCUACUUCUAGUCAUUACUUUUUUUGUUAUUUACUCUUUCUAUGAUGGGCUUUCCUCUUACUCUUCAUGUAGGUUUUUAUACUUCUGAUUAGACUUGGAAUAAACCUGGCCAUACAUCUUACUCUUCGUUCAGCCCAGGGAUAAGUAAAAAUGGUUGUUUUUUCCCUUGCAUGUUAAUUUGUGUUGGGAUGGGAUAGUUAUGCUCUGAUUGUGUGCCCUGCUAGUGGUACAGUUUCAUGUUUUUGUAUCAGGAAUGUGAGUCUGGACUUUAUCUUUUUGAUUGGGUCUUUGAUUUGCUUCUAUCAAGGAGAUCUUUAUGUUGUGGCAUUUUGAUAUGCUUUAUUAGAUUUUAGAAUAUCAAGGAUUUCACGAUUCUCUCUACUCCUAUAUGGAUCGUUGUGAUAUGUUUAUUUUCAAACUAUUGGUUGUAGUUCUUCAUAAUCGAGAUCAUCAUGUUAGAUACUUGAGAUAUGCAUUUAACCAUUAUGCUGGAAGUGGAAUUUUGAGAAACUAAACAUUUUGCGAUUCUUGACUCAAUGGAUAUGUACAGAGAAUGGCUUCACAUUGAUAAAUCAAAUUUCUUCAAUGAUGCAUGGAGCCUAGCGUUUUGAUUUGGUGAUCUGUAUUAAAUUCUUUUCAUUUUUUAAAAUUCUUUAUUGUCUCUUGAGAUCAUGUAUUUCUUGACCUGUUUUUACCCUCUUAGGUCUUGCAGGAAAAGUAAUUUUGUAACAUACGAUUUCUUCUGGUUAUAUGUAUUAAAUUCUUUUCAUUUUUUAAAAUUCUUUAUUGUCUCUUGAGAUCAUGUAUUUCUUGACCUGUUUUUACCCUCUUUGGUCUUGCAGGAAAAGUAAUUUUGUAACAUACGAUUUCUUCUGGUUAUAUGUAUUAAAUUCUUUUCAUUUUUAAAAAUUCUUUAUCGUCUCUGAGAUCAUGUAUUUCAUCAUGUAUUUCUUGACCUGUUUUUUACCC